rnacentral:lncRNA from 12 species
CAUUGAGUGAGACAACUACAUUUGGGCAGAGGCAGGGUUUUACCAAGAACACUUUUAGUUCCUGUUUCCAAUUGAGCCUGCUCCCUGCCUGGGGCCUAGCCUGAUGUACAAGCCCAUUGGCUGGGAUUGCUUAAAUGUCCCACACAAAUAUAAACACCUCUACAGUGUUGGGAAGAUGAAAGGAAUAGCUUAUUGAUAUUGUAUAUGCUAACGUUUGGAUGUGGGACAGGAAAGACAGCACUGAACUGCUGGUAUGCAGUGCUGAAGCUGGGCUGCAUGAAGAGGUUUUCAUUUACUGAUGUUGGAUGUGUGCCCAGACUGCCAUAGUAGAAUUCAGGGAGAGACAUAGAAAGGAGGAGAACCACAGAAUGGUUUUCGUGAACAUCCACGUGGGGCAGAAGAAUAAAUACAUAUGAAGACUAUGUUUCCAGAAAUGAAAGGACUGGCCACUGGGGAACAAUUGGGAGCCCCCUCAAGUCCCACCCUGGUCCUCUUCAUUUGUACUUGAAGCUGCAAGAGAGCACAAUGGGCAACCAAAAUGUAUCCCCCUGUGGAUUUAUAUUGAACUUCCUGAAAUUAAGCCUCACCCACGGUGGGUACCAUAUUCUCAUUUGCCACUCUGUGUAAGACAAUGGGAGCAUGUAAAUUGCACCUAAAGAGUGGGUGACCCAAAGUGAAAUACAGAGAAAAAUCCAAGUUCCAGCACAUGGUUAUGAGAUGACAGAGAGAGGGGAAAAAGUUAAGUAACAUAUUAUUAUUAUUAUUAUUAGAGUUAGGUACUCAGUCACUCAGUCAUUUAUUUCUUCAAAAAUCUUUAUUGGGCACUUAGUAUGUGCUGGGUACUGGGCUAACAUCUAGGGAUAUGAUGUUGCACAAAAGGAGAUGUGCUUACUAUCCUCACGGAGCUUAUGGUCUGAUGAGAGGAAGGCCUCCAUCAAAUAAUGAUAGAAAUUAAUUACUUAAAAGUGCAAGUUUAAGUGCUGUGAACAGUAAUUAUAUAGUGUUACGUGGGUAUAAAAUGAGCCAGUUUUACCUAGUCUGGGGUGGAGGUCAGGGUAAGGGGGGCUCAGAGGAGCCUUGCCUGAAAAAAGAAUCAGUGAACGAAGACUUAGAG